CGGUGAAUCGCGUAGUUUGGUAGCGCAUCUUAGGGGUUUAGGAAUAGCGGACCAGAGGGUCGGGUACGGAAGGCCGCCCCGUUCGAAUCCCUCUUCACCGACCA
rnacentral:tRNA from 1 species